ensembl:lncRNA
GUGAGGGGAGGACCAACUGACUACUGGCUCACUGAAGCACAAGACAGUUUCUUCCGGAAAGAUGUCAAACAACUCAGACAUAGCCACAGAGGAAGUAGAAAGGUGGAAAAAUAAGGAGACCCUGGAAGAAAUGAAGGCUUUGGGGCUUUUCCUUUUUACUCCUUUUCUUUCUUUCCUUCUUUCUUUUUUCCCCCCCAUCAUCUGACCUGCAAAGGCUAGAGUGACAGCGUCAUGCAAAUACUGCAGUCCCGCAGGUCUGGGAGAGGGUGGAUGCUAGACUGUGAGUUAAUGUUAAUGAUGAGCGCAGUGAAAAUACCAGCCGCUGCCACCCCCUGCACACAGAAGCGCUCUGAGUCAGCAUCAGAUGCUUUGCCUCGCCUCUCGCUGGGUGUCUGUAUGCCUGUGCGCGCGCGUGCUCGCUCGGGCAUCCGUGUCUAGCCGAAGGGAGGGGGUGGCGUGUGAGUGCGUGGAGGGUAAAAGCCAGUCAGUCAGUGAGAAGCAAAGAUCAACCACUUCAGAAGAACCAGAUUCCACUUCUGUGGCCAGGACUUUUAUGUUAUGGCUGGUCUGAUUGUUUUACCCUGCGUUCUAUGCUUCUAAACCUUGGAUCAUUCCUAAAGUACAAAUUCUGUUCUCGAACCACAAACAAGGAUAAAAGAUCGGAAGAAAUUCAGUGAAUAUCCAGGGUUGGAAUUGUGUAUUUUCAGAAGUGUUGAGCUUUAUAAUGCAAUUAUUUAAAGAUAGAGUCUUUUAUUUUCUUAUGUUGCCAGCAUUUUAAGUUACGUGUUUAUUAAGUGGCACUGAUCAAAUAACUACAGAGUAUGCAUGGAAAUAUUGGCUGUCUGAAUAGUUUGGAGAUUCAAAGAGAAAUAGCAAGCUGCAGAGGUACUAAAUUAUGACAUGCAAAAAAGUUUUUGUUUUAUUCUUAACUGCAACAGUGUGUGUGUGUAUAUAUAUAUACAUAUAUAUAUGUAUGCAUACAUAUAUAUAUAUAUAUGUAUUAGAUUUAAAGUGUUAUAUGUCCUGGGCCCACCUGACAAGUUGUGGUGUGUAGGCGUAUAAUGGGAAGCAAAAUUCAAUUAGGUCCCAUUAACUGGCAUAUAAUCCUUCUUUAAUGUAAUAGAAGCUAUGGUGUUGCUGUACAAAUUUGCUAGAAACAGAUUUUUAACCCAUUUUUGGUCUCUUUCUUAGAUCUAAUGGAAUGACUCUUAACUGUUCAUUAUCUGCAUUGUUCCUUACAUUCUUCAUUAUUUUAAGGUCUGAAAUUAGUCUAUCAAUGGUUGUUGUGAAUAUUCAGCUCAUCCUAACUUAUAUAUGCCAUACAUACAUCUAUAUUUCUACGUGUGUAUUUUCAUUAGUAUUGAGAGGGAAAAGUUAACUGAACCCAACUGUAAUUUCUAAACUAGCCUUAUUACUGGAAGAAGAAUUCUACCGCAUCAAACCGGACUUUUCCUAGUCCCUGAGACCCUAACUUGUGAGGUAUUUUAGUAACAUCACAAGUCAGGCUCUUGGGACCUAGGCGGAGGGAACUAGCACCUUUGGACCUUAUUGACUGUCUGCAGUUACCAUCAGAACAAAAGAACACACAUAGAUUCUGCCUAGGAGAAAAGAACAAUGCUCUUAUUUAUAAUCAGCAAUGUUAUCACCAUGACCCACCCCCAAAAAUGCUAUUUUCAGAAGCUGUUCUCUAAAGUGAUGACAGAGUUGCACAGAAAUAGCAUUUGUAUUAUAUCAUAAUGACCAUAUAAAAGCAAUAUAAGAUAUCUAUGUAAGAACCAAAAUUAAAAUACAGUGUUUUUGAAAUGCUUCUUUUGGUGUAUUUUCAGGUGGCUAGCCCAAGAGAGUAACUCCUUGGUUAAUAAUGAAGAGAGUGUUUUAUAUUUAUAUAUUUUUUAUUAUGCAUAAAGAUAUAUGCAUUAGCUACUUAAAUAAUUCCUACAUGUUUUCGUAACUGUGGCUGAAAAUAUGUAAUAUACAGCUCUAGACAUGCUUGAGGCCUAGAAAUAAAAUGAUUUACCGUCUUCUUUAUUUGACCCUGUUAGAAUUUAUACUGAUUUAAGAAGAAUGCUGUUUUAUACUUGGUAUUUGUUGCCAGAGUUUUCUUUAGUCUUUUUAACCGGACAAAAUGCUCGAAAUGUCUUAUAAUAAGACAUUAUUUUGUUAUGAGUAUGAAUUAUCAUAAUUAGCAGGAAUAUGAUAUCUUUUCAUUUUUGCAUUUUGCUUGGCAUAUAUCAUAAAUGUAUGUGAGAAAAUUUAGUAAACACCACCUAUGAAGUCAGAUAGUUCUAGUUCUUCUAUAAAUUGAAUCUGAACUGCAGACUUAUACUUUUAUGAGAAUUUUAAUCUAAUAUAAGGUAACUAUUACAACUAUAACAUGUCACACUUGAACAUUAUUAGCUAUUGCCGUAUCAAAUGUGCAUUUUUGAAAACAGAAUCUUACAUUAAAUCUAUUUUUAAAUUUUAUAAUUAUGUUGCAGAUAUUAAGAUUCAAAAUGGAGGCAACAGAUUUUUCCAUAAUAGAAGAAACAAUAUUAUUUCAUUCUUUAAACUCUAUUGCUUUACAGGGGUACUAUAAAUUGUAUAUAUCUUCUCAUUUUAAAAAUAAAUCUCAGGAUGUGUUUUAGAAUACUGUAAUGGAGUUUCUGUCUACAUUUUUAUUGAAUUUGUUAGAAUUACUUAUUAUUUGAACUAUCACAGAAUACAAAACACUCAUGAGUUAUAUUUCCUAAAAAAUUGUUGUUAAAAUAUCAUAAACAUACCCCCCAUCUGUACAGGCACAUAGAAUGUGUUUAAGGAUGUAUUUAAGCAUGAAUCCACUCUGUAUCUUUUCAGAUUUUGUAUUUAUAUCACCUGCUUCAUUAGUCUAAUAUCUCAAAAUUUUAAGUAUGUAUAUAUGUAUAAACAUGUUUUAAAACUUCAAAUGAACAGAGAUAAUAUAAGCUGUAAAGUUUUGGGUAGUAUUUAUUUUUUACUUCUUUUAACCUUAUUCUCAUUGUAAUUAAACAUUGUUGAAAGCAUAAGCUACUCAGUACAAAGAACUCUCUGUACCUACAAGUACACAGAAACUUGCUUAUAUUUAACAACAACAUUUACCCAAUGAAUCAGAAAGUGUCUCACAUAAAACACCACCACAUGCAGGUAUGUGUUUACAAACACCUGUUUUAAAAGCAAUAUGUAUAAUGUGUUCCAUCACUUUAGUUCCAAAAUGAUGUAAGGGAGAGAUGUUUGUUGGCUUUAAUGUUAUCAAAUGGAAGCUAUCUCAAAUGCAGGAUUUUUUAUGUCAUCGUAUUUACGAAUCACACUAUAUAUUAACUUCUGCUUCAUAGUCAGAAGAUACCAAUGCUAGACUUAAAGUGCAACUGUGUUUAUUUUCCACAUAAACAUAUAAAUAUAUAUAUACAUGUUACUAAUCAUCAUGCAUUCUGCAUGAACCCUCUGUAUGUAAUGUUUGAUAUGUCAACUAUCUGUUCUGAUUGCAUCAUUGAUAAAGCUUUUCUCUUACUCCAUAAAGGUGAGUACAGAUAUAAGUGAGUAACUUUACUCAUAUAAAUUACUUUAUGCUGUAUAUGGAUAGAUGGAUGCCACUUUUUCUGCAUUUCUAUCUUAGCUGUCACAGGAUGAUAUUGUUUGGGUGCUGUAUAAAAUGAUUUGGAAAAUCAGAUCUUACUAAGCUUAAAAUAAAGGGAGAGAUCUACAACAAAGAGUGAGAAAAUGAUGUGUGUUGCAUACAAAAAAAGCAGUGAUCUUAACAAUUCUAUGGCUUCCUGGUUGGGAGACCAGUCUGAGCCAGACGCAUAUAUUAAAGGCUGUCUGCCGCCGAUGUGAGCUUGCUCAAUGCGGUGGAAAUGAGGAAUCACCUCUUCUCUGACACCAGCUUAUUUUUACAUUUUAAUUUUGAAAUAGCAAAUCACUGUUUUACAUAAACAUACUAACCCCUGCUUGAUUCUUUGCCUUUUUCACAUUGUUUGCUAUUUACUGUCAACUUCCAGCUCUGUUUUUUUUUUUAAGUAUCAUCUCUCACCUUAAACAUCUAUCAAAUACCAAUGACGUAUUAAUUUUUCUUUUGUCUCUUUUACAUUGCUCUGUUAAUAUUGUGAUACUCAUGCUUUUAACUUUUAAUCUCUGUAAGGAAAACAGCAAUUUUUCAAAACUGACAUUUUUUAAAGCCUUUUAGGAUCCAUCAAGGAAGCCACUUCUGGAAUUUUGCCAAAUCUAAAUAUGAUUAUAUUUCAUUUUUGGGUUCAUGGGGUCAAUAUCUUUCUGAGUAUAAAAGUCCUUAACACUUUAGUGUGCCAGUAAAGCUGCAGUAGAGGUGCAGAGAUUAAGCUACAUUAAUAACGUCUAGAAGAGGUAUAGGUGUCUCAGGGGAAUUAUAAUGCAGGUUAAUUACUAAUGAAAUUACAAGUGGUGGAUACUGCCUUAAAUUCCUUAAACUCAAAUGGACAUACUAGUACAUGUGCCCAGACUUAGUCUAAUUCGCCUGGUGAAUAUUUAAAAGGUUUUGCAUGUUGUUGUGUUUAGAUGAGUUUCUAGAAAAGCAGUAUGUAAAGGGUUAGCUAAUGCCCAAAUAUUCUUGCCAUUUACACAUGCAGUGCAGCCUACGUUUCGGUAGGCAGUGAGUGCAGGCAUCAUUUUGAUUACUUGGGAUUCUUUUGUUUAAUUUCUCACUAGACAUUUAACUUAGCACUGAAAUCCCACUGAUCCCUUAGUGACUGUAUUUAUAAAAGGAAAACAAAGUUCCUAAUAUAGAGAAGUUUUCAAAAAUCCUGAACAUUUGUAAGCUUUUGAAAAAUAGGCUUUUUACUACAAUGCUGCAAAUACAUAGUAUGUGGAAACUAAGGCACUAACACUGUCAUCUCCACAUUUAGUUUUUUAUCUCUAAGUGACCAACUACACUCUGAGACAUUAUAUGUAUGUAUAUUAAUAGACAUUAGCAUAUAUACUAAAUACACGCUUUAAUAUAUAAAUAUGUGUUAAUAUACAUAUUUAUAUAUUCAAAGAUAUCUUAAUUUUUCAAACCUUUGGUAAAAAUAGUAUGAAAAUUGAGAAUAUUUCAUAUAACUCUCCACAAUAUUUCUUCAAUGUGUUAGCUUUGAUUUUCAUUGAAUGUUGCUCUCUUCCUAGCUUUAUCAGAUAGAGUGCAUUACUAGCCAAUAAUAUUAAGUUGUAUGUAGUCUCGUACUUGUAGCAGUUUGAAAGCAGGUGGAACUUGAAGGUAAUUGAGAUUAAGUGAAUUUAAGAUAAAAUAGGUUUAUAUAAUCAGCUAAUGCCAUGCAUAUUUUAUAAAGAGUUUCAAAGUGAAAAAUUUUCAUAUGGUGAAAUAAUUUUUUCAUUGUAUCUGAUGUAAGAAAUAUGGUUUUAAGUGUGUUACCUUAAUAAUUAUUCCUAAACAAAACUGUGCAAAAUAAUCAUGGACUAUAUCUGUUAGGUCAACCAAAUGAGAGUAAUAAUUCCUAGAUUUCAUCGUGGCCUUUUGGGUUUCUGGGGCAUUUUAGGUCUUUGAUGUAAAGUGGACUUAACCAUUUCACUUUUCUAAGAAGUUUCUUCCUCUCUUCUGGUAGGUGUCUGACGAUUUGUGAACCCCAGAUAACUAUUCUGUGGAGCCAUCUUUCCUUGCCUUUGAAUUAGCUUUCUCUAGGCCAAGAAUCAACAUCAAUAUUUUAUACAGCCAAAUUGUAGUCAUGUGUGGAUGAGAGUGUUGGACCAUAAAGAAGGCUGAAGCCAAAGAAUUAAUGCUUUUGAAUGUUGGUGUUGGAGAAGACGCCUGAGUCCCUUGGACAGCAAGGAGAUCAUACCAGUCAAUCCUAAAGGAAAUAAACCCUGAAUAUGCAUUGGAAAGACUGAUGCUGAAGCUCCAAUACUUUGGCCUUGUAUGCAAAGAACUGAAUCAUUGGAAAAAGUCUUGAUGCUGGGAAAGAUUGAGGGCAGGAGGAGAAGGGCAACAGAGAAUGAGUUGGAUAUAGUCAACUCAUGGAUACUGACUCAAUGGACAUAAGUCUGAGCAAACUCCAAGAGAUAGUGAAGGACAGGGAAGCCUGGCAUACUGCAGUUCAUGGGGUUGCAAAGAAUCAGACAUGGCUUAGCUACUGAACAACAACACAGGCAAGUAGCUUAUUUACAAAAUAUAUUAAAUAUUACUUGCAUAAUAAAAAGGUUCAUUUCAUAAAAUUAGAAAUUUCAGACAAAAAUCAAAUAUAUAUGUAUGCAUAUAUGUAUACAUAUAUGUGUGUAUAUAUAUAUAUAUAUAAUCACUCAGAAAAUAAUUCCAGUUGUCAUAUGUAUAUAAUCAUACCUCUCUCUCCUUCUUUGUCUUUCUCAUUCACACAUACACUGAAUAUCUUCAUAAAUAUUUGUAACUUGCUGUUUAAUUGUUAAUACCAAAGGAACAUUUCCCACAUAUCAUUUUAGCAUAUGCUCAUUAUGUUAUUGAUUGGGUGUAAUAUGAUUAAUUUACCUACUGCAUUCAUAGGUAUAAGCUGAGUUUUUUCCAUUCUUUUUUUCCUAAUUAUAAAUAGUAUUCUGAUGAUAAAUACACAUUUAUAUAAUUAUAUAUAAGUAUUCCAUUGAUAUAUUAAUUUGGAUAGAUGACAAUGGCCUGAAUGAAGGUGGUGUCAGUGGAAGUGGAGAGAGAAUGAUGGAACAGAGAAGUGUUUAGAAGAGCUAAGGGAUUAACUGCAUGUAGAAUGAGAUCUGAAAAAUUUUAACCAAGGCUAUCAUUUCCCCAAUUUAUGCUUGUUGCUUUUAUUUUUCUCUACACAUUUGAUCAAUGCCAUUUAUUCCUUUAGUGGAAAGACACACUGUUCUGAUUUGGAAAAGCUGGGCUCUUGAGAGGGAAAUGGUUUUCUUUUCCAUUCUUAAAGAGUUUGGUUAGAAAUUGUAACCUAGAUACUAGAGGUUUGGAUCACAGGAUUUAUAAAAGUUAACCCUAAACUAGAGAAGAGUUUAGGAUAUGAGCUACAAGUAGUUUCUCAUCUCACAGGACAGCAUGAAACUUUCUAGACUGGGUGAAUGAAGAGCCUAGAGAAGGAGAGAGAGAGGGGAGAAAACUGGAUGUAGAUAAGGAACAUCGCAUAUUCUCUGACUGCUGUGACUGCUAGGGGAGGGAAACAGGUAACGGGCUCCUGCUGGAUGAGCAUAAAGACGUGAAAGCCAGAGGGAUUAUGAGCCCUGCCCUCUGGAGCCCUCCUGUGUGGGCUAGGUGGGACAGCUUUGUAAACGCUUAUAGAAGUGGCAGCAGCGGACAACUAGAGGGAGUCUGAACUAGCACCCCGGCCUCUCACCCUCCACCCAUCACCUUCUUCCAAGAAAGCCCUUCAGCAGGGCCCAGGAGAGAUCUGGAAAAAUGUCCUCGCCUUCAACAGGCAUCAAGGAGAUAGCUGGAAAAUGGAGGAUACUAUGGAGUUUCAAAAGAUCCACAACAACAGCUAGAACCAAGGAAAGAGGGUUAGUCAGCAAACUGGGCUUGUUGAAAGCAGGAUUUUAGAUAGUUUCACUGCUGAGGGAAGAAUUUCCAAAGGCGAAAGACCAACACACCAAAAGACACGUUAGCAGAGGUUAAUGAGAACCAGAAAAUAGUGGGUAGCCAUAGUGGGGAGAAAGUAGAAAUCAGAGAUGUGAAAUGCCACCUUUAUUAUAUGCUAAAUUCUCAUAUAUUCUAGAAUAUUCUAGGAAGUAGUAAAUAGCAAAUGAAAGUUGCUCAAUAGUGCAUGCCUGUUUGCAACCCCAGGAAUUCUCCAGGCCAAAAUACUAGAGUGGGUAGCCUUUCCCUUUUCCAGGGAAUCUUCCCAACCCAGGGAUUGAAAUCAGGUCUCCUUCAUUGCAGGCGGAUUCUUUACCAGCUGAGUCACAAGGGAAGCCCAAGAAUACUGGAAUGGGUAGCUUAUUCCUUCUCCAGAGGAUCUUUCCAACCCAGGAAUAGAACUGGGGUCUCCUGCAUUGCAGGCAGAUUCUUUACCAGAUGAGCUAUCAAGGAAGCCCCAGUCCAUUUAAAAAUAAAUCACUUUAGUCAUGUCCAACUCUUUGCACCUCUAGACCAUAGCCCGCCAGGCUCCUCUAUCCAUCUGAUUCUCCAGGCAAGAAUACUGGAGUAAAUUGCUAUGCCCUCCUCCAGGGGAUCUUUCCAAUCCAAGGACUGAACCCACAUCUCUUAAGUCUCCUGCAUUGGCAGGUGAGUUCUUACCACUAGCACCACCUGAGAAGCUCAAAUUCAAUAGUGAUAACUAUAUUUCUAAAUUUUGAUUUACUUUGCCUUUCUAACGAAUGAAUUAAGAACCUUUGGAAAUCGUAACCUUUUCCAUGUAGUUCAUCCAAGAUUUAGCAUAAUGUAGUCUCUUUUCAAGUUUCUUUCAAGACUUUGCUUUUUUCUUAUUUUGUCCUGGUCCUUGUCAGAUAGGUCCAUUUAUUUAUUCAGUCAAUCAAAAAAAUACAUUGAGUACCUUCCAUAUGGCAGGCAGGUUAUUCUAAUCUGUAAGCUUAAAGUGUGAACUUAGUUUCAGUUACAGUUUAUUUUAUUGUAUUUGUUUAAUGUUAAUUGAACAUACCCAUGUCUUUGUACCAAAUGGAGCAUGUUCUUCACUAAAAUUUUAUUUGUGGGUGGACAUUAGGAUUACAAUUAGAAAAAAAGUAUGCACAAGCACACCUACUCACUAAAAUAUAAGAGAUAUUGAUGAUCCUAAAGAAAAUAUACAAUGAAAUAGUUGAGAAUGUAGUCGCUCGGUCAUGUCCGACUCUUUGUGACGCUGUGGACUGUAGCCUGCCAGGCUCCUCUGUCAAUGGAAUUCUCCAGGGGAGAAUUGGAGUGGGUUGCCACUCACAUCUCCAGGAGAUCUUCCCAACCCAAGGAUUGAGCCCAGGUCUUCUUUAUUGCAGGCAGAUUCUUUGCUAUCUGAGCCAACAAGGAAGCCUCCAAAUCAUAGCACAUAUCUUCAAAGUCAUUGACUAAAAGAACAUCAUGAGAAAAACAGUAUUGUUUCUUUUUAGUGCUUCUAAUACCUUUCCUGGGAAUUCAGGUGGAACAGAGAGAAUCCAGUGAAAUCUUGUGCUUUGCAUCAUUAUUAAGCUUAUAUCUGCAAGCUAAUCUUCUGUGAUAAGGUUAAAAUGUAAAAGCAUUUGAAUCAAUAGCUCUUUCAGAUGCUGCUUUGAUAAAAUUGCUUCAUUUUCGUUUCAACUAAUUAAUUCAUGUAAGUAGAAAGAUUAAGAGAAAUACUUACUCAUAUUAUAAGUAACAGGAUCCAAACAGUUUAUUGAACUGUAUUGUUGGCAUCUUUGCAACCAAUAAGACUCUUUAAUAAUCAGGUCUCAGAAACAUCUGUCUUAGGGUUAUAUACGCUGGCUUCUAUUUACUUGAAAAGGAAUUAACAUAGGGUCAGGGGCAAAGGUGAGGUUACUUCUACCUGGAAAUUAAUCAUAAAAUUCAUUUUCCCCUUUGAUGUCUGUGAACAUACACCUCACCCCCACCUCCAUCUUUUAUCUUCUUAAAACCCUCAAGCUCCCUUUCAUGUGUUGUGGCAAUUUAAAGGAAUCUAAAGUUGUAGAUUUAUUUAUUUACUUAAUUAAAUACUGAAAAUAUAAUACAGUAGGGUAAAAUAUUUUUAAAAGAUGUGACACCUUAAGAAGAAAUUCGCAGACAUCAUAAGUGACUUUAAUAUAUUGGUGAGUUUCAGGCUAUGUUCUUAGUCAUAUUUCUACUAGAAGAAGCCUAUGUUCCAUUUUGUGUCUUCUCAUUUGCAUUACUUAAAAGUUAUUCAUGUGUAUGAAAAGGAUAAUGUUCAUCUCCAUAUCCUUUUCCUCUCCAUAUUACAAACCCAGCAUGUUUAUGAGUUAUACAUAAACAUUGCUGUAUCUGUAUAUUUAUGCAUACAUAUCUAUGUGAUUCAAAUAAUACUAUCACAACUGUAUAGCAAGCCCAAGUGAUAAUAUUAUGUACAAGAUGUGUCUUAUUACAUCAUUAAUGGAAUAUCAAAAUUGUCAAAUAUGUUGAAAUCCAAUAAUUGUAACUGACAAGCUCUAGCAUGACUUGUCUCCAUUGGGAAGGAUUGAAAAAGAGAGAGAGAAAGGAAUGUAUGUACUUCUGAAUUCCCCCUCUAAGUGCAUGUGAUUGGAUGGCAUGCUCUUAUUACUUCUGCAAAUAUCUUUCAUGAGAUGCUGUUUUCACAGCAUUCAGAGUAACUAUCUAGUGAAGUUUUUAUGUGUGCAUAAGCCGUAUCAUCUCCUAAGUUUAGAAAUUCAGUGCUGUUCCAGAAAGAACUACAAAGUUGAACUGGCAAGAAGAAAAAUGGCCAGCCUAGCUGAACUUAUCUCCCUCUAAUAUAUGAUUUGCCUUACUCAGUAUUCCAGGAAACUAUUUACCUGACAGUUUAGAUAGAGCUCACAGAGGAAAACUAUUUCUCUUCUGCUCUCCAGUUCUGUUUCUACCCCUUAGAAAAGUAAAUGUUAUUGCUUAAUUCCAAAAAGUUUUCUCUCAAAAAUAUCUUGGCAUGUGGCAAUAUGAGGAAAAGAGGCUGACAAUGAAUUUCAUGGACACAGAAUUCAUUCAUUACAAUGAUAGGUUAUUCAAGAAUCCUCACCCUUUGUGUUCUGCUUUAUCUGUAUUUAGGGAUGGCAUGAAGGGUAGAAAAAGGAAGCUUAUUAUUUUCUUUAAAAUUAAUUCCCAGUUAACCAUUUACUAGUGGAUUAUUUUAAGCACAGAGGACCUUAUAAUUACAUGGUUUUUUUUUCAGUAAUUAUGGCAGAUAUUCAAGUGAAUAGACAGUGAUAGGCAUGUAUGGAAGAACCUGGCUUUCUAGACAGACCCACAUGUCCGAGAUCAAACAGCUACAGCACAUUUAGGGUUACAGUCUCCUUCCCUUCCUCCUCAUUCUCAACCACAGUGGAGCUUUUUCCAGCGUUGCCAUGGUAACACUAUAUCUGGCUGCUAGCUCUGUCGUAAGUUAUUGAACUGAGACUGGCUUUUGGUUUAGCAGAUAAUUAGGUUCUGUCUCACAGGUUCAUUUUCCUGUGACUGGGACGUGAAUAUGACCUACAGCUGGCCUCAAUUUCAGUGUCACAGACAAAACUUUAACCCUUCCUAAGCUCCCAAGGCGCUUUCCCAGCUAAGCCUUGCUUAUGAAGUGGAGGAAGUCCACUGCAGCCCACCUACAUUUCCUAAAACUAAGGAAAAUAACUAGAUUGUACACAUAAAGCAUUUUCAAAAAUAAAAAUAUAUCAAAAAUAUGGUACAUGUACUUAUGUCUUUUCCAUGUAACAUAAUACAUAGUAUAUGUGUACAUAUAACAUAGAUGAAACUGUCUCUUCAUUAUCAUUCCAUUGUUCUUUAAUAAUUUUUAAAGUCAUGUCAAAUUGCAAUUUGGAUUCGAUAGUACAUAGAUUUCAAAAGCACCAUUUUCAGGGAUAUUAGCUGGGUAUACUUAUUUUCAGCUUUCAGAACUGUCUGCCAGUUGAUUCAUGUCCCUCCCUCUCCUUUUUUAUAAACCCUAGAUUUUUGCUGACACUGAAAGGUUCCUUUGGAGUCACAGGCAGGUCCCUGCUACGGGGAACCAUGCCAUCUCUGCUCAAGUGCCCAAAUGUUCACUCAAGAGUUGAAUCUUGCUGGGCUGAAAAGUCAGCAAAGAUCUGCCCUUUGUUUAGGACAAAGCAGAAGCAUAACUUUUAGAACAGAUACUGAAUUUACAAUACCCACAGCAACACAGAAAUCUGUAUGGUUAAUAUGAGAGAGUGUGUCUUUCUAUGUCAAGCAAUAAGAAAGGCUUUCAAGGAAAUCUAUUUGAAAAAAUUUACUGUAUUUCACCUAAAACCUUUCUGUUAAAAAAAAAAAAAGAAAAGAACAAGGGAGAGUUGAGACCACAGUGAUUAAAAUAUGAAUUAAAGAAAUUUUAUAGCUUAACUGGCUGAAAGUUGCGUAACUGUGUCAACAAAGAUAGGAAAGACUUCAGUUCAGUUCAGUCACUCAGUCAUGUCUGACUCUUUGUGACCCAAUGGACUGCAGCACGCCAGGCCUCCCUGUCCAUUGCCAACUCCCAGAGUUUACUCAAACUCAUGUCCGUUGAGUCAGUGAUGCUAUCCAGCCAUCUCAUCCUCUGUCGUCCCCUUCUCCUCCUGCCUUUAAUCUUUUGCAGUAUCAGGGUCUUUUCUAGUGAAUCAGUUCUUCACAUCAGGUGGCCAAAGUAUUGGAAUUUCAGCUUCAGCAUCUGUCCUUCCAAUGAAUAUUCAGGACUGAUUUCCUUCAGGAUUUACUGGUUUGAUCUCCUUGCAAUCCAAGGGACUCUCAAGAGUCUUCUCCGAUACCACAGUUCAAAAGCAUAAAUUCUUUGGCACUCAGCUUUCUUUAGAGUCCAACUCUCACAUCCAUACAUGACUACUGGAAAAACCAUAGCUUUGACUAGAUGGACCUUUGUUGGCAAAGUAAUGUCUCUGCUUUUUAAUAUGCUGUCUAGGAUGGUCAUAACAGUCUUUCCAAGGAGUAUACAUCUUUUAAUUUCAUGGCUGCAAUCACCAUCUACAGUGAUUUUGGGGCCAAAAAAACUAAAGUCAGCCACUGUUUCCACUAUUUCCCCAUCUAUUUACCUUGAAGUGAUGGGACCAGAUGCCAUGGUCUUAGUUUUCUGAAUGUUGAGAUUUAAGCCAACUUUUUCACUCUCCUCUUUCACUUUCAUCAAUAAGCUCUUUAGUUCUUC